rnacentral:tRNA from 1 species
GGAGUGGUGUCCGAGUGGUCGAAGGAGCGCGACUGGAAAUCGCGUACUCGGUUAAUACCGGGUCGUGGGUUCGAAUCCCACCCGCUCCGCCA